GAUCUGGUUACCAGGGGUGGGAUCUGGGGUGCUGGGGUGAGAUCUGGGUUACAGGGGUGAGAUCGGGGGCGCUGGGGUGAGAUCUGGGUUAGAGGGGUGGGAUCUGGGGCUCUGGGGUGCUGGGGUGGGAUCUGGGUUACCAGGGGUGGGAUCUGGAGUGCUGGGGUGAGAUCUGGGUUACAGGGGUGAGAUCUGGGUUACAGGGGGUGAGAUCUGGGGCGCUGGGGUGAGAUCUGGGGCGCUGGGGUGAGGUCUGGGUUACAGGGGUGAGAUCUGGGGCGCUGGGGCCAGCUGAAGCACGGGAGCAGGGGAAGCCUGCUGCCUUACCUGCCAUGACAGCUGGAGAGUGGCAGUUAGGGGAGCCCCUCCCCCAACGGGGGGUUGCGUGACCGUUGG
ensembl:lncRNA